GUGGGGGUGGGUUGGUAAAGGCUUGCUGCCAAGCCUGGUGAGGUUGAGUUUGAUCUCUGGGACCUGUACGCUGUCCUCUGACCUCUCUACACAAGCCUUGUGGCACAUGUCUCGGUGCUUUGUGCUCUGUCUGAGACGGUUAGCUUCCUGGGACCAGCAGACUGGAUCCUGCCUGUGCUGCCUCAGGGCUUUUGUGCAGUCUACCCCAAAGCUGGCACAGUCACUGAUGUUUCUCUAAUGUGUAACAGUCCUCUCGGCUCUGUCCCCAUCCUUCUUUCCCAAGUGUCCCCCUGUUGAACACAAUCUUUCUGUGAUCGUCACACAGGAGGAGCCACUUCUUGGCUGGGCAGGGGAACACACACACACAAGUCUCUUGCUCUCUCCAAUAGCUACUAUGAAGGUGCAGCCUGACAGCUCCUACCACCUACGAUAUGCAUUGCAAACUAUAAAGUUCUGGGCAAAAACCUGAGCUUUCCCUGCCACCAAGAUAGACUCCAUUCUGAGGCCAGUUCCCCAGCACCUCCUCCAGGUAACUUUGAGUGUUAUCACCAACACCACAAAGGAGCCUUUGUGGCCAGCACACAGCAGCUUGAAAAGACGCCUUCUGGUGGCCCACAGGACAGGGCUGAGGGCCCUUCAAGGAUGAAUGGGACUGGCCAAACAUAUUUACUGGGGUUGGGUGAGGUAGGGUGUGGCUGGAGCCUCCAGAACAUUCCAGAGCCCUUGCACCUCUGAGCUCUUCUGUGAGUUCCCACAACAGCAUCUGUCACGUUCUGUAAAGGGAGCUAGUGAAAGAGAACGUCCUUCAAACCUCCCAGUUUAUACCUUCUGAGGCCAAGUGUCCCAAAGGGACAUUCUUGGAUCUCUCAGGUGGCACAGUGACAGGUGGACCUUUAAAUCAGGAGAUUGCAUUUGGAGUUUGACUGUAAACAAUUACAUAUCAGGGAGCCAGAGCCAGAGCCUGCCUCAGAAACACGAGGGCUGGGGGGCGUAGCUCUGUUGGUAAACUACAGUUUGGAAACUCUGAGUUUCAUCUUCUGAGCCCAUAUAAAGAAUCUGGGUGUGAGGGCAAGGGUUUGUAAACCCAGUGCUGGGGACAGGGAGACAGGAGGCUUCUCAGCACUCAACGUUCAGCCAGCCUAGCUUAUCUGGCCAGCUCCAGGUCAGGAAGAAACCUCGUUUCAUAAAAUAAGGUGAAAGGGGCCCGAAGAAUGCCACCAGAGGUGAUCUCCAGACUCCACAUGCAGUUACACACAUGUGCAUGCUCCCAACACACAAACACAAAACACACACACACACAUACACACUCAUUAUGAAGUCAUGGGCAAUGGAGUGUACUGAGGUCACUGAGGUUUAGAGACCCAGUGCAAGGGGAUGUUUCAAGUCUAAGAGUUCAAGCCCACCCUGAGUACCAUAGAUGCUGUCUCAAAACAC
rnacentral:lncRNA from 1 species